AGGAUUGAGGGAGGCUUGAUGCAGAUGCAACUUAGACACGCAGCCUUGCUGGCGGAAGACCGCAGCCCAUGGCAGGUGGUGUUCAGAUCGGUAGCGAAGCGGCACCGUGCAUCGCUGAGGCCCAGACCCGGUCCUCUCCCCGCCGUCAUGGCUGCCGGAUCAGCUCUCCCGAGCCCCAUACGCAAACUCACCUCGGGCGCCCCGAGCUCGCGCAUGGAUUCGGCAAAGUACUUCAUGCCCAGAUCAAAGUCCUCGGGACUGAAGCCCCGCUGCUUGAUGAUGCGCAGGUGCGCGAUGCGGACCGACUUGCCCGUGUACGGCACGUUGGGGGGGCCGAACAGCCUGGAGGCAGCGCAAUAGGAGGUUUGGGUUUGGGUAGGAGAUGUGGUAUUGGGAAGAAGGGGCGGCGCGGGCGCUGGGCGCUAAGGAUGCGGCUGAGCGGCCAGUCGCCCAGUCGAUUCCCAGUCGGGGCCCAGCAGUACCCACAGGGCCUAGGCAGGAACCCAAGGGCCUAGGCAGGAGCCGCGGAGUGCUGGGCCUGUCACCCCCAAACUCAAACCAACUGACAAGAGUGCGCUGAAGGGAAGGCAAUACCAUCCAUGCAGGGCUGGUGUGGUGGACUUGAGGCAUGCACUCGCAGUGACACUCGCACACCCACGCCUUCGCCCUUGCAUGCGCACCAUGAGAUGAAGGCGGAUUGUUUGGCCCGCAGGUGCGUCAUUUCUUGAUCGUGCAGGAACUUUAUGAGUGAGGGGUCGGCGUAGAGGUGGCGGUAGAACAGCUCCACCACGUGCUUCACCACGUCGGAACC
rnacentral:lncRNA from 1 species